AUUGAACGCUGGCGGCAGGCCUAACACAUGCAAGUCGAGCGCGAAAGUGUUUCGGCCUGAGUAGAGCGGCGAACGGGUGAGUAACGCGUGGGAAUCUGCCGGGUAAUGGGGGACAACAUCUCGAACGGGAUGCUAAUACAGCAUACGCCGUAAGGUGGAAAGAGGGGGAUGUUCGGACCUCACGUUAUCCGAUGAGCACGCGGCGGAUUAGCUAGUAGGUAGGGUAAAGGCCUACCUAGGCGACGAUCCGUAACUGGUCUGAGAGGAUGAUCAGCCACACUGGAACUGAGACACGGUCCAGACUCCUACGGGAGGCAGCAGUGGGGAAUAUUGGACAAUGGGCGAAAGCCUGAUCCAGCCAUGCCGCGUGUGUGAAGAAGGUCUUCGGAUUGUAAAGCACUUUAAGUCGGGAGGAAGGACUGUAGGCUAAUACCUUGCAGUUUUGACGUUACCGACAGAAUAAGCACCGGCUAACUUCGUGCCAGCCGCCGCGGUAAAAC
rnacentral:rRNA from 1 species